rnacentral:rRNA from 1 species
GAUGAACGCUGGCGGCGUGCUUAACACAUGCAAGUCGAACGAAGAUGCCGGAGUGCUUGCACUUUGGCAGACUGAGUGGCGGACGGGUGAGUAACGCGUGGGUAACCUGCCUUAUACAGGGGGAUAACAGUUGGAAACGACUGCUAAUACCGCAUAAGCGCACGGUAUCGCAUGAUACAGUGUGAAAAACUCCGGUGGUAUAAGAUGGACCCGCGUCUGAUUAGCUUGUUGGUGAGGUAACGGCCCACCAAGGCGACGAUCAGUAGCCGGCCUGAGAGGGUGAACGGCCACAUUGGGACUGAGACACGGCCCAAACUCCUACGGGAGGCAGCAGUGGGGAAUAUUGCACAAUGGGGGAAACCCUGAUGCAGCGACGCCGCGUGAGUGAUGAAGUAUUUCGGUAUGUAAAACUACUAUCAGCAGGGGAAGAUAAUGACGGUACCUGACUAAGAAGCACCGGCUAAAUACGUG